UGUAUAUGUAUANNNUUAUGAUGCGGGUUACUACUUGUAGUAUUGCCUGCACAUUCUUGUAUAUUUAGUUGCAAGAUUUUGUCGGCGUGCACUCUCCCCUAGUAGGACGUCGCGACCUGUUGGGUGUCGGUCUACGGCCCAAGUGAUAGCCUUUAAUGUAAUUUAAAAAGCAUUGAAGAUCCUUGGUGUUUUCUGACCGGCUACUUGGCAGUAUUCGUACGGUAUUUAGCCGCUAAAUUUAUUAAGCGUCCAUAUCCGUCACAAGCGAGGCUAAUUUACUAGUAGUACGGACCUAGUGCCGUCGUUGGUAUUAGUCAGCUGUUGGUUGUACGGUAUUCUAGGACUGGCUAAAAUUAAUUACCGGUCGGCGAUGCUACUGCUUUGGGUACUUUCAGGACCCGUCUUGAAACACGGACCAAGGAGUCUAACAUGUGCGCAAGUCAUUGGGAUUUUUUUAAAAUUAAACCUAAAGGCGCAAUGAAAGUAAAGGUUGACCUUGCGUUAACCGAGGGAGGAUGAGUUAUAUUAUGAUAUAGGUU
rnacentral:rRNA from 1 species